GAUGAACGCUAGCGGCAGGCUUAAUACAUGCAAGUCGAGGGGCAGCAUGACUGUAGCAAUACAGUUGAUGGCGACCGGCAAACGGGUGCGGAACACGUACAGAACCUUCCUUCGAGCGGGGAAUAGCCCAGAGAAAUUUGGAUUAAUACCCCAUAGUAUAUUAGAGUGGCAUCACUUUGAUAUUAAAGAUUUAUCACUUGAAGAUGGCUGUGCGGCUGAUUAGGUAGUUGGCGGGGUAACGGCCCACCAAGCCUUCGAUCAGUAACUGGUGUGAGAGCACGACCAGUCACACGGGCACUGAGACACGGGCCCGACUCCUACGGGAGGCAGCAGUAAGGAAUAUUGGUCAAUGGACGAAAGUCUGAACCAGCCAUGCCGCGUGGAGGAUGAAGGUCCUCUGGGAUUGUAAACUUUCUUUAUAGUGGGAACGUAAAAAGGGUUUUCUAACUCGUCUGACGGUACCAUAUGAAUAAGCACCGGACUAACUCCGUGCCAGCAC
rnacentral:rRNA from 1 species